CCACUGAAUCCCCCGUAAUCCUCCAGCCCUGCAUGAAAUGCAGACCGCGCAUGCGCGAUCCGGACGUGCAGGGGCGGAACUUGAUGGCCGGCAACGGCACACAGCGUCGCCGCAAAGUAUAUACCAGUGGCAAUGCAGGGCAGGUGCGGCGGCAGCGGACCAUUCCUCUCAUCUCCUCCGAACAUUGGGUGCAGCUGGCAGUUGGGAUGGGGAGUGAUGGGGGAACUGGCCUGGACUGGAGCGGAACUCUGAAGGAUGAUUGAGUUUGGAGACAGCUGGGAGCUCGGGGGAGAGGCAGAGGUAUAGAGAAAAGGAAGAUCUGCUGAAAGUAACACAAGGGCAGUGGACAUAUUUCACAAAGGAUGAUAUAAUUCAAGUAGUUGAAGCCGGCUAAUGAAAUAACAGGCGAUAUUUGUCUGUGAGGCUGAGCUGUGCUUAUUACUACUUCUCCCUAAAGUGACUCCUAGCAGCUCAAUAGAUAAAUAAACCUUGGAAGUGUUUGACAAGAAGCAGCUUCUCUUGUGAUGUCAGGAACUGGUCUAGAAGCAACUCCAUCAUCCUCUGAGACAAAACAGCAACUGCCUCCUGUGUGAUCAUCAAUGUGUUAUCUAGUUUUUUGGGGAGGGGACUUUCUCAUUCAUGAUGAGUCACUAGUCUAUUUGUAUAUGCUCCACAGGUUCAGCCUUGAAGACAUCCAUAGGGGCUGGCCUGAGCUUCCUGUC